rnacentral:rRNA from 1 species
CAGGCAGAUUCAAUUUUCUGCCACCGAAUACAUUAGCAUGGGAUAAUGGAAUAGGACCCUGUCCUCCUAUUUUCAGUUGGUUUUGGCAGCGCGAGGACUAGGGUAAUGAUUAAUAGGGAUAGUUGGGGGCAUUAAUAUUUAAUUGUCAGAGGUGAAAUUCUUGGAUUUAUGAAAGAUUAACUUCUGCGAAAGCAUCUGCCAAGGAUGUUUUCAUUAAUCAAGAACGAAAGUUAGGGGAUCGAAGACGAUCAGAUACCGUCGUAGUCUUAACCAUAAACGAUGCCGACCAGCGAUUAGGAGACGUUGAAUACAAAACACCACCAUCGGCGCGGUCGUCCUUGGCGUUCGUGUUCACGCACGGGAGCGAGGGCGGCUUAGCCCGGUGGCACCGGUGAAUGACUCCCUAGCAACUUGUGAGAAAGAA